rnacentral:rRNA from 1 species
CCUGAGGGGGAAAGUGGGGGACCGCAAGGCCUCACGCGAAUGGAGCGGCCGAUGUCAGAUUAGCUAGUUGGUGGGGUAAAGGCUCACCAAGGCGACGAUCUGUAGCGGGUCUGAGAGGAUGAUCCGCCACACUGGGACUGAGACACGGCCCAGACUCCUACGGGAGGCAGCAGUGGGGAAUUUUGGACAAUGGGCGCAAGCCUGAUCCAGCCAUGCCGCGUGCGGGACGAAGGCCUUCGGGUUGUAAACCGCUUUCAGCCGGAAAGAAAUCGCUGUUUUUAAUACGGACAGUGGAUAACGGUACCGGAAGAAGAAGCACCGGCUAACUACGUGCCAGCAGCCGCGGUAAUACGUAGGGUGCGAGCGUUAAUCGGAAUUACUGGGCGUAAAGCGUGCGCAGGCGGUUUUGUAAGCCAGACGUGAAAUCCCCGGGCUUAACCUGGGAACUGCGUUUGGAACUGCAAGACUAGAGUGUGUCAGAGGGAGGUGGAAUUCCACGU